rnacentral:rRNA from 1 species
UGGAGAGUUUGAUCCUGGCUCAGAGUGAACGCUGGCGGCGUGCCUAACACAUGCAAGUCGAACGAUGAAGUCCUUCGGGAUGGAUUAGUGGCGCACGGGUGAGUAAUGCAUAGAUAAUGUGCCCCUUAGUUCGGGAUAGCCACUGGAAACGGUGAUUAAUACCGGAUACUCCUUCUUGUCUCAAGGCAAGUCGGGAAAGUUUUUCGCUAAGGGAUCAGUCUAUGUUCCAUCAGGUAGUUGGUGAGGUAAUGGCUCACCAAGCCUAUGACGGAUAUCUGGUUUGAGAGGAUGAUCAGACACACUGGAACUGAGACACGGUCCAGACUCCUACGGGAGGCAGCAGUGAGGAAUAUUGCACAAUGGAGGAAACUCUGAUGCAGCAACGCCGCGUGGAGGAUGACGCAUUUCGGUGUGUAAACUCCUUUUAUUAGGGAAGAUAAUGACGGUACCUAAUGAAUAAGCACCGGCUAACUCC